rnacentral:lncRNA from 1 species
UAUAUUUCCUGGCUAAGCGCGGUGGCUCACGCCUGUAAUCCCAACACUUUGCAAGAAAAAAGAAAAUUCUUUUUCCUGACCCAUCCAUCUAGCAUCCCACCUGACUAUUCAGUUUAGUUCAUCUGAAAUUUAUUGAGCUCCACAGUUUGGUACUCUACAACUCUUGGAUAUUCAAAUAUUUACAAGUUACUGAAUUUGUCCUCAAGAAACUCAGCUUAUCCGACUUUGUGGUUCUAUGGAGAAGAAAAAAAAAAACUGGGAAAGAUAGCCCUGUAAGCAAAUAAACAUAAUGCAGUUCCUGAGUGCUAUGAUAGAGAUAUACACAGGGUGUUGCAGAACCAUACCCAGAAGGCUUGCAAAAGGCUUUCCAAAAGGAAGUCACGCCUACGUUGUGUUCAAAGGAAGGUGAUUUGCCCAAUUCAAUGAUCAGCUCAACUUCUCAGUGCCUGAGAAGGAAGCUUUGCAGCCUGAUGAGCAACUUAGAGACCAGAUAAAUGGGAAGUUCCUAAAGCUCAGAAUGAAGGUAUGGAUUGACCUAUAGCCUAUCUUCGUGAGUAAGAAUUCCUGGAACAGUAAAAUCAGGUUGAUUUAGA